AUAUGAUUAGAUUGCAUGGGAAGGUUAUAUGAUGAAUAAGGCAUCUAAAGAUGAGAAGUGUUGAUAUGGGAGCUAACCUGUACAUUGGAAACGUUCACCCUGUUGAGUUACUCAUGUACAAUUAAAAAUUGCCAAUUGAAGCCACUUCAUAAUAUUUGGAAGAUAUGGUGAUGGUGAGCCUACUGACAAUGCAACAAGGUUCUACAAAUGGUUUAGAGGAAAAGGAUAGAGGAGAUUGGCUUAAGAAUCUUCAGUAUAAAGUUUUCAGCCUCAAAAACUAGCAAUAUGAGCAUUUGAACGAUGUCUAACAUAUAUUUAACUUCUAUAUUUUAUUUCAUUUGGUACGCUGGCCCAUGAUCUUUAAAUAUAAUGCCAUGACUGUUUGUUAAAGGGUUCUUGUUUAUUUACAAUGCGGGGAAACAUAUUGUGAUUGUGUUGGAUAACCUUGUCGUCAAGCAAGUUAUGUUUUUUAUUCUAUUAUUCAUCCAUUGAUUAAAAUU